rnacentral:rRNA from 1 species
AUGGAUUUAAACCCAUCAGUGACGUGCUGGAAUGUCCGAGGCUUGAACAAUCCAGCAAAGAGGCAAGCAGUUAAAGACUUCCUAGUGUCGGUGCGGCCUAACUUAGUGUGCUUACAAGAAACUAAGCUUGAUGUAGUGGAUAAUUUUAUUAUAAUGCAAUGUUGUGGGCCGUCCUUAGAUGGCUUUCCUUAUUUCCCGGUGGUUGACACGAGAGGUGGGAUCAUAUUAGCUUGGGAUACCACCGUGAUGAUGGUUGAUAACAUCACGCGCGACAUAAACUCCCUCACUGGCUUGGUGCACCCAAAGUCAGGGGACGAUUGGUGGAUCACCGUGGUCUAUGGGCCACAAGGAGAUGACCUCAAGACUCUAUUCCUUGAGGAGCUGAACAUGAGGAGAACCGCAUGUCCGAGGCCGUGGAUGGUCCUAGGUGACUUCAACUUAAUCCUUCGAGCCUCGGAGAAAAAUAACAUGAACCUAAAUCGGGCCAUGAAAAUAAGUUCAGAAGUUUUGUUGAUAACAACAAGCUGA